UACAGAGGGUGCGAGCGUUAAUCGGAAUUACUGGGCGUAAAGCGUGCGUAGACGGUUUCGUAAGUCGGGUGUGAAAUCCCCGGGCUCAACCUGGGAAUUGCAUUCGAAACUGCGAGGCUAGGGUACGGAAGAGGGAAGCGGAAUUUCUGGUGUAGCGGUGAAAUGCGUAGAUAUCGGGAAGAACACCCGUGGCGAAGGCGGUUCUCUGGGACGGUACUGACGCUGAGACGCGAAAGCGUGGGGAGCGAACAGG
rnacentral:rRNA from 1 species